GAUGAACGCUGGCGGCGUGCCUAAUACAUGCAAGUCGAGCGAACAGACGAGGAGCUUGCUCCUCUGACGUUAGCGGCGGACGGGUGAGUACACGUGGAUAACCUACCUAUAAGACUGGGAUAACUUCGGGAAACCGGAGCUAAUACCGGAUAAUAUAUUGAACCGCAUGGUUCAAUAGUGAAAGACGGUUUUGCUGUCACUUAUAGAUGGAUCCGCGCCGCAUUAGCUAGUUGGUAAGGUAACGGCUUACCAAGGCAACGAUGCGUAGCCGACCUGAGAGGGUGAUCGGCCACACUGGAACUGAGACACGGUCCAGACUCCUACGGGAGGCAGCAGUAGGGAAUCUUCCGCAAUGGGCGAAAGCUUGACGGAGCAACGCCGCGUGAGUGAUGAAGGUCUUCGGAUCGUAAAACUCUGUUAUUAGGGAAGAACAAAUGUGUAAGUAACUAUGCACGUCUUGACGGUACCUAAUCAGAAAGCCACGGCUAACUACGUG
rnacentral:rRNA from 1 species